rnacentral:rRNA from 1 species
UACAGAGGGUGCGAGCGUUAAUCGGAAUUACUGGGCGUAAAGCGUGCGUAGACGGCUAUCUAAGUCGGGUGUGAAAGCCCCGGGCUCAACCUGGGAAUUGCAUUCGAGACUGAAUAGCUAGGGUACGGUAGAGGGAAGUGGAAUUUCCGGUGUAGCGGUGAAAUGCGUAGAUAUCGGAAGGAACAUCAGUGGCGAAGGCGGCCAUCUGGAUCAACACUGACGCUGAAGCACGAAAGCGAUGGGGAGCAAACAGGG